GUGCUCGCUUCGGCAACACAUAUACUACAACUGGAAUGAUACAGAGAAGAUUAGCAUGGCCCCUGUGCAAGCAUGACACUCAAACCUCCUCUGGAAAGCCAAAUCUUU
ensembl:snRNA U6 U6 spliceosomal RNA